rnacentral:rRNA from 1 species
GAUGAACGCUGGCGGCGUGCCUAAUACAUGCAAGUCGAGCGAACGGACGAGAAGCUUGCUUUUCUGAUGUUAGCGGCGGACGGGUGAGUAACACGUGGAUAACCUACCUAUAAGACUGGGAUAACUUCGGGAAACCGGAGCUAAUACCGGAUAAUAUUUUGAACCGCAUGGUUCAAAAGUGAAAGACGGUCUUGCUGUCACUUAUAGAUGGAUCCGCGCUGCAUUAGCUAGUUGGUAAGGUAACGGCUUACCAAGGCAACGAUGCAUAGCCGACCUGAGAGGGUGAUCGGCCACACUGGAACUGAGACACGGUCCAGACUCCUACGGGAGGCAGCAGUAGGGAAUCUUCCGCAAUGGGCGAAAGCCUGACGGAGCAACGCCGCGUGAGUGAUGAAGGUCUUCGGAUCGUAAAACUCUGUUAUUAGGGAAGAACAUAUGUGUAAGUAACUGUGCACAUCUUGACGGUACCUAAUCAGAAAGCCACGGCUAGCUACGUGCCAGCAGCCGCGGUAAUACGUAGGUGGCAAGCGUUAUCCGGAAUUAUUGGGCGUAAAGCGCGCGUAGGCGGUUUUUUAAGUCUGAUGUGAAAGCCCACGGCUCAACCGUGGAGGGUCAUUGGAAACUGGAAAACUUGAGUGCAGAAGAGGAAAGUGGAAUUCCAUGUGUAGCGGUGAAAUGCGCAGAGAUAUGGAGGAACACCAGUGGCGAAGGCGACUUUCUGGUCUGUAACUGACGCUGAUGUGCGAAAGCGUGGGGAUCAAACAGGAUUAGAUACCCUGGUAGUCCACGCCGUAAACGAUGAGUGCUAAGUGUUAGGGGGUUUCCGCCCCUUAGUGCUGCAGCUAACGCAUUAAGCACUCCGCCUGGGGAGUACGACCGCAAGGUUGAAACUCAAAGGAAUUGACGGGGACCCGCACAAGCGGUGGAGCAUGUGGUUUAAUUCGAAGCAACGCGAAGAACCUUACCAAAUCUUGACAUCCUUUGACAACUCUAGAGAUAGAGCCUUCCCCUUCGGGGGACAAAGUGACAGGUGGUGCAUGGUUGUCGUCAGCUCGUGUCGUGAGAUGUUGGGUUAAGUCCCGCAACGAGCGCAACCCUUAAGCUUAGUUGCCAUCAUUAAGUUGGGCACUCUAAGUUGACUGCCGGUGACAAACCGGAGGAAGGUGGGGAUGACGUCAAAUCAUCAUGCCCCUUAUGAUUUGGGCUACACACGUGUUACAAUGGACAAUACAAAGGGCAGCGAAACCGCGAGGUCAAGCAAAUCCCAUAAAGUUGUUCUCAGUUCGGAUUGUAGUCUGCAACUCGACUACAUGAAGCUGGAAUCGCUAGUAAUCGUAGAUCAGCAUGCUACGGUGAAUACGUUCCCGGGUCU